AUUUUGAAAAUUUUGGUUCAAACGUUAAAUUUAUCAAACACAUGUGUACUUUUUAAAAUAGGCAGGCAUUUGGUUUACAUAUUUAUAGAAGUGUAUCAAUUAUACGACAAAAUGAAAACCUAAACUACGAAUUUAGAAAAUAAAUCAAUAUUUAUACUUCAUCAUUAUAAUUAUGUAAGAAAGUGAUUAGAACAUCUAGUGAAAUACCUCAAAUGACAGUGAUACGAAAUGUUUUCGAAAUAUACAUCACAUGACAAUUCCUUAUUUAUAUUUUAAUAUUAUGCAUGUAAUUUAUAAAUAUAGCACAAUAACUAUUUAUUUUGAACAGAUGGUUUGCAGAAUUGAUAAAUGAUGAAAGAAAUGUUUGGAAGUGUGACUUGACAUUGUCUCAUGCAAGGGAAGCACAAGAGAGAAUACAAGAAUUCAACAGAUUAAAAAGAGCAAGGCAUCUACUCGAUGCUAUUUUCCUCACAAAUGAAUUAAUUUCAGAUGGUUCUGAUGUGGAAAUAUUGAGUCUUGCUGGCACAAUAAUAAAGAGAUUGAAAGGGUUAGGAGUGUUUAAUACACUAAUAGAAAAUUCAACCAACCAUGUAAAAGUGUCAAUGUUAAAACCCUCUCAUUCUGGUAUAUAUCACUGUUGUACAUUCUGUUCAAGUGGUGGUAAAAAAGAAACUGUUUGUGGUUGUGGGGGGUCUAUGCCUGGUGGAUAUCAAGGUUGUGGACAUGGUUAUAUUGGGCAUCCAGGUGUUAGUCAUUGGUCGUGUUGUGGAUCCAUUUUGAGACAUGGACAUUGCUUAGCUCUUCCAAGGCACAAAUUCCAACUGUUACUUUGACGCUGUUGGUUUCAAAUAAAUUUUAUUUUUUCAUAAA